GACGAACGCUGGCGGCGUGCCUAACACAUGCAAGUCGAACGGGGCCGGGGGCAACUCCGGUUCAGUGGCGGACGGGUGCGUAACACGUGAGGAACAUGACUUUCGGUGGGGGAUAGCCGGCCCAACGGCCGGGUAAUACCGCGUACGACCUUUCGGGGACAUCCCCGGUUGGUGAAAGCAGCAAUGCGCCGAAAGAGUGCCUCGCGGCCUAUCAGCUAGUUGGUGGGGUAACGGCCCACCAAGGCGACGACGGGUAGCUGGUCUGAGAGGAUGGCCAGCCACAUUGGGACUGAGACACGGCCCAGACUCCUACGGGAGGCAGCAGUGGGGAAUAUUGCGCAAUGGGCGAAAGCCUGACGCAGCGACGCCGCGUGUGGGAUGACGGCCUUCGGGUUGUAAACCACUGUCGGGAGGGACGAAUGCGCCGCAAGGCGAGUGACGGUACCUCCAAAGGAAGCACCGGCUAACUCCGUGCCAGCAGCCGCCGCUGUAA
rnacentral:rRNA from 1 species